UCCCGCAGGUCAGACACAGCCAGGGAGCCCAGUUCCUCGCCCGGCCUGAGCAGAUCAGAUGGAAGCACUGAAGAGUCCCUCCUCUGACCAAUACCCAAGUCACCAUGCUGUCCCCAGAAGGUCCUAGAGUAGGAUGAAAUAGCCAAUGGCCACCCUGUUCAUGGAUGUGCAGGGACUUCAAUAUGGAGAAGGCAGCGCCCAUUCACUGCCUCGAGGCAGAGUGAACUCUGACUCCCAGAGAAGGAGGGAGAAGAGGAAGAAGGAAAAUCAAAAGGUAAAGAGAGGGACUGUUCUGGGAUGGUCCAUUGUCGCUGUCCCUGUGUGAGCUUCUCACUGUGUAAACUUCUCACUGGACUUGGUGAUCCUGAAGCUAUGGGCUUGUUCGUGUCCUUAACCACAGCUGACUUGGGGUUCAACCGAAGAAACCAAGACCUGCUCCAGCACUGGAGAAAAAGCAGGCUGGGAGGUGGCUGGUGGCCUCCUGUGUGGUGUCUUCCUAAAGGAUUUUCAA